UACAGAGGGGGCAAGCGUUAUUCGGAAUUACUGGGCGUAAAGCGCGCGCAGGCGGUCCUUCAAGUCAGAGGUGAAAGCCCAGAGCUCAACUCUGGAAUGGCCUUUGAGACUAGAGGACUUGGGUACGGGAGAGGUGAGUGGAAUUCCGAGUGUAGAGGUGAAAUUCGUAGAUAUUCGGAAGAACACCAGUGGCGAAGGCGGCUCACUGGCCCGUUACCGACGCUCAGGCGCGACAGCGUGGGGAGCAAACAGG
rnacentral:rRNA from 1 species